AAACCAACUUGCCAUGAAAAAUUUUGCAAAGUUGUAUGUGGGGCAACAAGUUACAGCCUACUGGUCAUCCACGGGAAGUUUCUUUGUUGCAGAAAUUAUCACUCCAGAUACACCAAAGAAAAAGAUAAUAAAUUUGUCUGACAGCAAAUUAACCCCC